AUUGAACGCUGGCGGCACGCUUAACACAUGCAAGUCGAACGGCAGCGGGAGAGAGCUUGCUCUCUUGCCGGCGAGUGGCGAACGCGUGAGUAACGCGUAGGGAUCUGCCUGUUAGAGGGGGAUAAGCCGAGGAGACUUGGACUAAUACCGCAUACGCUCUGAGGAGGAAAGGUUGGGACUGUCGAGAGAUGGCCAAUCGCUAACAGAUGAACCUGCGUUAGAUUAGCUAGUUGGUAGGGUAAAGGCCUACCAAAGCGACGAUCUAUAGCUGGUCUGAGAGGAUGACCAGCCACACUGGAACUGAGGAACGGACCAGACUCCUACGGGAGGCAGCAGUGGGGAAUAUUGGACAAUGGGGGGAACCUUGAUCCAGCGAUGCCGCGUGUGUGAAGAAGGCCUGAGGGUUGUAAAGCACUUUAGUUGGCGAGGAAAGGCUCUUUUCGAAUAGGAAAGAGAGAAGACGUUACCCAAAAAAUAAGCACCGGCUAACUCUGUGCCAGCAGCCGCGGUAAUACAGAGGGUGCAAGCGUUAAUCGGAAUGACUGGGCGUAAAGGGCACGUAGGCGGGUAGAUGUGUCAUAGGUGAAAUCCCCGGGCUUAACCUGGUAACUGCCUAUGAAACUGUGUAUCUAGAAUAGAGUAGAGGUAAGUGGAAUUUCCGGUGUAGCGGUGGAAUGCGUAGAUAUCGGAAAGAACACCAGUGGCGAAGGCGACUUACUGGACUCAUAUUGACGCUGAGGUGCGAGAGCGUGGGGAGCAAACGGGAUUAGAUACCCCGGUAGUCCACGCUGUAAUCGAUGAGAACUAGCUGCUUGUUGACUAAGGUUAAUGAGUAGUGAAGCAAGCGCAUUAAGUUCUCCGCCUGGGGAGUACGGCCGCA
rnacentral:rRNA from 1 species